CCUACGGGGGGCUGCAGUGAGGAAUAUUGGUCAAUGGACGAGAGUCUGAACCAGCCAAGUAGCGUGAAGGAUGACUGCCCUAUGGGUUGUAAACUUCUUUUAUAAAGGAAUAAAACGAGGCACGUGUGCCUUUUUGCAUGUACUUUAUGAAUAAGGAUCGGCUAACUCCGUGCCAGCAGCCGCGGUAAUACGGAGGAUCCGAGCGUUAUCCGGAUUUAUUGGGUUUAAAGGGAGCGUAGAUGGGUUGUUAAGUCAGUUGUGAAAGUUUGCGGCUCAACCGUAAAAUUGCAAUUGAUACUGGCAGGCUGGAGUACAGUUGAGGUAGGCGGAAUUCGUGGUGUAGCGGUGAAAUGCUUAGAUAUCACGAAGAACCCCGAUUGCGAAGGCAGCUUACUAAACUGUGACUGACAUUGAGGCUCGAAAGUGUGGGUAUCAAACAGGAUUAGAUACCCCUGUAGUC
rnacentral:rRNA from 1 species